rnacentral:rRNA from 1 species
AUAAUACUCCAUAGAUUAGAGACACUGGAAUGUUCUUUAGUCGAAAGUUCUGGCGCCUUAGGAUGGAUCUGCGGUCGAUUAGGUUGUUGUUGGGGUAACGGCCCAACAAGCCUGUAAUCGAUACGGGUUGUGGGAGCAAGAGCCCGGAGAUGGAAUCUGAGACACGAUUCCAGGCCCUACGGGGCGCAGCAGGCGCGAAAACUUUACAAUGCAGGAAACUGUGAUAAGGGAACUCCGAGUGCCCGUAUACGCGGGCUGUCCAGGUGUUUAAAAAUCAUCUGAAGAAAGGGCCGGGCAAGACCGGUGCCAGCCGCCGCGGUAAUACCGGCGGCUCGAGUGGUGGCCACUAUUAUUGGGCUUAAAGCGUCCGUAGCUGGACCGAUAAGUCUCUUGGGAAAUCCGCCGGCUCAACCGGCGGGCGUCUAAGGGAUACUGUUAGUCUAGGGACCGGGAGAGGUGAGAGGUACUCCGGGGGUAGGAGUGAAAUCCUGUAAUCCCCGGGGGACCACCGAUGGCGAAAGCAUCUCACCAGAACGGCUCCGACAGUGAAGGACGAAAGCUGGGGGAACGAACCGGAUUAAAUACCCGGGUAGUCCCAGCCGUAAACUAUGCGCGUUAGGUGU